ACGCGUGGACCGAAGUUAUUCUGGCGUGCUCAAAAUUAUUUUAUUUCGUAUUUUUGAGAAACGACAACCUGCACAUACAGAGAAAAUUGCUCUGCACUCUAUCAUCAUUCACUUUGGUUCCUCAGUCAUGGUUGCAUCAAGCCAACCACAGUGCUUGAGCACGAGGCAGUCAUUGGGGGUUUUAAAUGUCUGCACCAUCUAACAAAGCGGGAGCAGGCCCAUCACACAAACUUCCCAGAACUGCUGGACCUUGCUGAAUUGCUGGGUUGCUUGUGACUAUUUCACAAAGCUCAAGAUUGACAAGAACACAAACUACAGGUCUUACAUAAUAGUGGAYGAAAUGUUGAAGAUUCUGGCUCAACUUGUGGAGGAGCCUAUCCUCCAUGUCAUGACAUCCAGACAUCUGUAGCCAUUGGCCUGGACGCUGAUGAAACUACAGAUAUGGCAACUAAUAACCAGCUGGAUUUACAUGUCAGAUACACGGACCAAGAGGGUCAACUUUACAACCAAUUCCUGGACCUGGUGUCAGUCCCUGAUGGAAAGGCAGACACCAUCGUUGCUUUCAUCAAGGASGUGCUGCACAUCAAAAAGAUACCAACAGAGAGAUUGUACGGCCUGGGCACUGAUGGGGCUGCAGUGA